rnacentral:rRNA from 1 species
UGGGGGAUAUUGCACAAUGGGCGAAAGCCUGAUGCAGCGACGCCGCGUGGGGGAUGAAGGCCUUCGGGUUGUAAACUUCUUUUGCUCUGAACAAGGCAUGCCUUUGGGGUGUGUUGAGUGUAGGGGUUGAUUAGCGCCGGCUAACUACGUGCCAGCAGCCGCGGUAAUACGUAGGGCGCGAGCGUUGUCCGGAAUUAUUGGGCGUAAAGGGCUUGUAGGUGGCUGGUUGCGUCUGUCGUGAAAGCUCAUGGCUUAACUGUGGGUUUGCGGUGGGUACGGGCUGGCUUGAGUGCAGUAGGGGAGGCUGGAAUUCCUGGUGUAGCGGUGGAAUGCGCAGAUAUCAGGAGGAAUACCGGGGGCGAAGGCGGGUCUCUGGGCUGUUACUGACGCUGAGGAGCGAAAGCGUGGGGAGCGAACAGG